rnacentral:rRNA from 1 species
UGCCAGCAGCCGCGGUAAUACAGAGGUCCCAAGCGUUGUUCGGAUUCACUGGGCGUAAAGGGUGCGUAGGUGGCGUGGAAAGUUUGAUGUGAAAGCUCCGGGCUCAACCCGGAAAAUGCAUUGGAUACUAUCACGCUAGAGGAUCGGAGGGGAGACUGGAAUUCUCGGUGUAGCAGUGAAAUGCGUAGAUAUCGAGAGGAACACCAGUGGCGAAGGCGACUCUCUGGGGGCAUUCUGACGCUGAGGCGCGAAAGCGUGGGGAGCGAACCGGAUUAGAUA